rnacentral:lncRNA from 1 species
CCUCGAGGUGGUGUUCAGAAAACAACCCAGGCUGUCUUUAACCAGUUAGCAUAAUUUAGAACCAGCAUGAAAAAGAGAGAAAGCAACUUGGUCUUCUUCCAGGGGGCCUCGGUACCCCUGAGCCUGAGCUAGAGAUGUGUUCACCAGCAGGAGUUUGUUUCCUGCACCAGCGCAGUUCCCUGGAGGGGCAGGUGAAAAGGGUAUCUGAUUAUCAAAGAUUUAGGAGGUUUGCUCACUAUAUAGAGAAAUGAAACUCAAAGAUUAAGCCAAAUACAUGGUUA